CCUACGGGAGGCAGCAGUGGGGAAUUUUGGACAAUGGGCGCAAGCCUGAUCCAGCAAUGCCGCGUGCAGGAUGAAGGCCUUCGGGUUGUAAACUGCUUUUGUACGGAGCGAAAAGGCUUCCACUAAUACUGGGGGUUCAUGACGGUACCGUAAGAAUAAGCACCGGCUAACUACGUGCCAGCAGCCGCGGUAAUACGUAGGGUGCGAGCGUUAAUCGGAAUUACUGGGCGUAAAGCGUGCGCAGGCGGUCUUGUAAGACAGGUGUGAAAUCCCCGGGCUUAACCUGGGAGCUGCACUUGUGACUGCAAGGCUGGAGUACGGCAGAGGGGGAUGGAAUUCCGCGUGUAGCAGUGAAAUGCGUAGAUAUGCGGAGGAACACCGAUGGCGAAGGCAAUCCCCUGGGCCUGUACUGACGCUCAUGCACGAAAGCGUGGGGAGCAAACAGGAUUAGAUACCCCUGUAGUC
rnacentral:rRNA from 1 species